GUAGAAUUCCAGGUGUAGCGGUGAAAUGCGUAGAGAUCUGGAGGAAUACCGGUGGCGAAGGCGGCCCCCUGGACAAAGACUGACGCUCAGGUGCGAAAGCGUGGGGAGCAAACAGGAUUAGAUACCCUGGUAGUCCACGCCGUAAACGAUGUCGACUUGGAGGUUGUGCCCUUGAGGCGUGGCUUCCGGAGCUAACGCGUUAAGUCGACCGCCUGGGGAGUACGGCCGCAAGGUUAAAACUCAAAUGAAUUGACGGGGGCCCGCACAAGCGGUGGAGCAUGUGGUUUAAUUCGAUGCAACGCGAAGAACCUUACCUGGUCUUGACAUCCA
rnacentral:rRNA from 1 species